AUCAUAUCCGGGCCUAUUAACUUAGUCUCGCCAACAUCAAACCAACCAAUAGGUGACCUUCACUUCCUCCCAUAUAAGGCCUCGUACGGUGCCAUCUAGAUACUAGAAUGGUAGUUGCUAUUAUAAGCAAACUCAAUGAGCAGCAAGUGGUCAUCCCAGCUACCUUUAAAGUCAAUAAUACAUGCCUGCAACAUAUCUUUGAAUGUCUGAAUAGUAUGCUCAGCCUACCCAUCAGUCUGAGGGUGAAAUGUUGUGCUAAGGUUCACCUGUGUCCCCAAUCCCUUCUGAAACGAUCUCCAAAAGAUGGCUGUAAAUUGAGCUCCUCUGUCUGAUAUAAUGGACGUGGGAACCCCCAUGAAGUCUCACUAUCUCCCUGACAUACAACCUAGCAUAAUCUUCAUCCGAAUAAGUAGUCGUGACUAGAAGAAAAUUGGUCGAUUUUGUCAGCCUAUCUACAAUAACCCAUAUAGAGUCAUACUUCCAUUGAGUGCGAGGUCAUCCUGUAAUGAAGUCCAUAUUAAUCAUCUCCCAUUUCAAAGUCGGGAUCUCUAUCUCCUGUAAUAAUCCGCUAGGCUUUUGAUGUUUGAUCUUGACUUGUUGAUAAUUCGGGCACUGAGCAACAAACUCUGCUAUAUCCUUUUUCAUGCCAUCCCACCAGUAUAAGCAUAUGAGGUCAUGAUACAUUUUCGUUGACAUUGGGUGAAUAGAAUAACGGGCAGAGUGUGCCUCUCCCAUAACUUGCCGUCGUACCCUCGCAAUAUCGGGUACACACAAUCUGCCUUCAUAUUGUAACACUCCGUCAGGUGUAACCUUAAAUGGGGUCUUUUCCUUUUUAAGAGUUGCAUAUCUAUACUGUGAAAGAAUAGGGUCCUCGUAUUGGUGUCUCUUUACCUCAUCUAUGAUUGAGGACUCAGCAACCUCUCGAAUAGAAACUCCACUAUCUUCUGAAUUAGCUAGACGAACUCCAAGGCUGGAUAGCCGCUGAAUCUCCCGAACCAUCUCCCUCCUUUAUGGUUGUACAUCUGUCAAGGUACCCAUGGACUUACGGCUAAGAGCAUCAGCUACAACAUUCGCUUUCCCUAGAUGAUAUAAAAUAUCAACAUAGUAAUCCUUUAGCAACUCUAACCACCGCCUCUGUCGUAAGUUCAACUCCUUCUAUUUAAAGAUAUAUUGGAGACUCUUAUGAUCUGUAUAGAUGUCCACAUGGACACCAUAUAAAUAAUGCCUGCAUAUUUUCAAGGAAUGAACCACGACUGCUAACUCCAGAUCGUGAGUAGGAUAAUUCUUUUCAUGCUUCCUAAGCUGUCAGGAGGCAUAGGCUAUAACUUUGCCAUGCUGCAUCAAUACACAUCCUAGACCAACAACCGAAGCAUCACAAUAAAUAACAUAGCCGUCUGGUCCCUCCGGAAGAGUUAGGAUUGGAGCUGUAGUCAAUUUGUCUUUCAAUAGUUGGAAGCUUCGCUCACAAGCAUCAGUCCACUAGAACUUGGCUGCCUUUUGAGUUAGCCUUGUCAAAGGUGCUGAAAUUGAGGAAAACUUUUGUACGAAUCUCCUGUAAUAUCCUGCUAACCCCAUAAAGUUGCGUACCUCAGUAGGUAUCGUAGCUCUGGGCCAAGUAUUUACCGCCUCAAUCUUCGCGUGUCUACCCGAAUACCAUCAGCUCCAAUAAUAUGCCCCAAGAAUUCCACUGAAGUCAACCAUAACUCUCACUUUGAAAACUUAGCAUACAACUUCUGGUGCUGAAACAACCUAAGUACUGUCCAUAAAUGGUCUUCAUGCUCCUCUUCUGAACGUGAAUAGACUAGAAUAUUGUCUACAAAUACAAUAACAAACAUAUCAAGGUAUGGUUUAAAUACUCAAUUCAUUAAAUCCAUAAACACCGCUGGAGCAUUAGUCUUCUCAAAAGACAGCACUCUAAACUCAUAAUGCCCGUAUCGAGUCCGGAAUGCCGUCUUUGGAAUGUCUGCCUUCCUUACCCGCACCUGAUGAUAACCUGACCGCAAGUCUAUCUUUGAAAAACACAUAGCACUCUGCAACUGGUCAAAUAGAUCAUCAAUCCUUGGCAGGGGAUACCUUUUCUUUACUGUUACUUUGUUCAGCUGCCUAUAAUCAAUACACAUCCGCAGUGACCCAUCCAUCUUCUUCACAAAUAGUACCGGUGCUCUCCAAGGUGACGUGCUAGGCCUAAUGAAGUCGUUUUCUAGAAGAUCCCUCAAUUGCUCUUUCAAUUCUUUCAACUAAGCAGGUGCCAUUCUAUAAGGAGGUAUAGAUAUAGGCUGGGUAUCUGGCAGUACAUCUAGAGUAAACUCUAUCUCUCAUUCUGGAGAAAGGCCUGGAAGUUCCUCUGUGAAUACAUCAGGAAAUUCAUUAACUACCCAGACUGAUUGAAGAGUCGGUGCCUCUUCCUUUAUGUCAUGCACCCGAACAAGAUGAUAAAUAUAGCCUUUUCUAACCAUCUUCCCGGCCUUAAGGUAUGAAAUGAACUUACCUUUUGGCGAUACUGUACUCACCUUCCACUCUAUAAUCGGUUCCCCUUGAAAUUGAAAUUGAACUAUCUUUCCUCUGCAAUCAACAUUAGCAUAACAAGCAGCCAACCAAUCCAUGCCCAUGAUAAUAUCAAACUCAAUCAUACUUACUCUAUUAGAUCUGAUACGGUACGACGAAUAUAUAUAAUGACUGAACAAUUCUUAUAUACUCGCGUAGCUAUGACAAAAUCUCCUACAUGUGUAGCUACCUCAAACGGUUCUAUCAACUCAGACUCUACUGCGAUCCUACUAGCAACGAAGGGAGAUAUAAAUGAUAAGGUGGAACCUGGGUCAAUCAAUGCAUACACACUUCGGGAGAAUAGUGAUAAUAUACUUGUGAUCACAUUAGGUGAUGCCUCCUGAUCCUGCUUACUAGUCAAAGCAUAUAUACGGUUCGAGGGACCGCUAGAACUGGAAGCUCCACCACAUUCUCUACCACGACUUGCUGGCUCCUGAAUACCCUGCCUCGUAGGGCGCAUAGCCACAAAAGAAGAUGAACCAUCAACGGACCCAGUAGGCUGUGCCAUACCACCUGCACUACCUCUAAGGUGACACUUCCUCAUAGUAUGACCAUGAAGGCCGCAAGAAAAACACGCACAUGUAUCCCAAUGACAUUUCCCAGGUUGGGACCUACCACAGCGAGAACACCGAGGCAAAGGUGGCCUCAACUUGCUCAAACCCCUACCCAUCUGUGACCCUGACUCCCUAGAGCUCUGACCAGCUUCCAAAUAUCCUGUACGAUAGAACCCCAUACCCAUGAAACGUGGGGGUGCAGUCUAUGCUGGAUGGGAAGAAAAUCUAACAUGUUGUUGAGACUGCCCGCCUCGAAACUCGUCAGGAUAACCUGCUGAUCUAGCCCUCUUAUGCAGGCCUCUAUUAUAAUCUCUAUCUGACUGACGUCCCCGGUGACGAUCCUCUACUCCCUGUGCAUAUGCCUGCACCCGAGCAAUGUCCAUACCUGGCUGAAGAGUCACUGCCAUACAACUGUCAAUUAGAUAACGAUCCAAUCCCAUCACAUAACGAUGUAACCUAUAUGCCAUAUCAGCCACAAUAGUAGGCACAUGCCUAGCCAAUGAAUCAAACUCAAGGCUAUACUCUCGAAUGCUCCUGUCAUUCUGCCUCAAACGCAAGAAUCUAUCGACUCUAGCUCGCUUCAUCUCUAGAUGCAGGAAGUUGCCCUGGAAAGCCUCCAUAAAUUCAUCCCAUACCACUGGAGGAGCACCUUCACCCCUAGAUAACUCCCAAGACUCAUAUCAAUUAAUAGCUACAUCCCACAAAUGAUACGUAGCAAACUCAACAGACUCGGUCUCCGAAGCCAUGAUUAUCCUCAAUGUACGCUGCAUCUCACGAAUAAACUCUUGCGGAUCAUCCUGGGGCCUUGACCGAAAGAACUAUGGAGGAUUAAAACUUAAGAAGUCACGAGCCCUUAAGCUAUCAGAUCUGUCCGCAUGAUCAACUCCUAGUCUAUGCCUGCAAGCCUAACGUACCACUAAUCUAGUCAGCAACUGAAUCGCAUGUCUCAUGGCCCUAUCCUCCGCCCCUGACUGAGGAGCUGGAGGUUCAGGUGCUGGGGCCUCGAGGGCUGGUGGUGUCCCCCGAACUAGAGUUGCUGCUGCUCUAAGUUCCUCUGGCGGUGGCGGUGUAGCAGAGCUCUCCGACUGGAGCACAAUACAAGGCAUAGACUGGGCACGGGCCCUAGUAACUCUCCGAGUCUGAGUAGUACCUUCUGCUACUGAUUUUUUCUCUUCUCGGCGGCUGUCGCUUUCUUUGGAGGCAUAGCUGAAAACACAGGAUUUGUUAGAGAGGGAUCAUCCUGUUAAUAUAGCUCUAUCGCAUGAUCUAGAAUGAGAAGAAAGGAUGACAUCCUAAAUGUUCUGUAGCUUUCUGUUUAUAGAUGUGGUGCACAACACACCGGUAAACAAGACUCUACUAGACACGGUAUGUAGACACUUCCGAGGAAAAACCGCUCUGAUACCACUCUUUGUCACGACCCAACCCAAUGGGCCGUGACUAGUGCCCGUUUUGGACACUCACAUUCAAACCUGCUAAGUAUAACCAACUAAAACUACGACUAUAUGGAAUUUAAUCAAAUCAAGACAACCCCAAUGCCAUAUAUAUUUAAUGGACCUGUCUCAUAAGGAGUCAUAACCAUUCAAUCGUAACAAUAUACGCGAGACGACAAGACCGCCACUAUCCAAAGCAUAAUAGCAUACACAAGCCGACAAGGCUGCAACUACACAAUACACAAUGAUGUAUCCAGCCGGCAAGGCUGCCCUCGUACAAGCAGACAUCCCAAACAAACCAUGUCUAGACCAUUAUCCAAAACAUAUAUAUACAACCCACAUAAUGUCUACAGACCUGUAAGAGUAUAGUAGUGAAACUCGAUGGCAAAGGGCCCCGCCAUACCCAUAGACAAGCAAAAGACUACACAAAAAGUUAUGAACCAAAACGAUUAGGCUCCAGAACAGUGGAGCUCUCCCAAUAAGCAUAGUAGAUAUCCUAGACAGGAGGAUCACCGAACAAUGCGUCUACACCCGCGGGCAUAAAACGCUGCCCCCCUCCCCCGACGAAAGAGGGGUCAGUACGAACAAUGUACUGAGUAUGUAAAGCAUAAGGUAAAGAUGAUAGGAUACAUAUAUGGUAAGUUGAAACAAAAUAUCGCUACACAUAUACCCUUUUAAGUGAAAAUCGUGCAUAUCUUUAACAUAUAAGGUGCCCAACUUCCCUAGUAAGGGGCUCGGCAAAAUAAUCAUCACAUCAUCUCCGUCAUCAUCAUCAUCAUAACCAUCCUCAUCACCAAUAAUAUGUAUAAUAUACAUACCCGACCCUCUAGUGAGUGACUCGGUGACAAAUGCAAGAAACUCCGCACGAACAUUACCCGACCCGAAACUCGGUGAAAUGAUAAAUUAGUCUAUGCACGAGCAAAAUAUUAUGAGCAACAAUAUGCAAUUAAAAUCAUUUCUUAUAACUCAAUAGAACAAUCAACAUGAACCAGCAAGGAGUAUUACAAAAGAUUAACGUUUUAUCAAGAUUACGAUCCUUUAAUACGAUAUGGAAACGUAAAAUCUCAAUGACUCUUAGAAGUACUACCAUAGAUAUGAGAAAUCAUUAAGACUUAGACAUAGCCGAUAUAUAGAGGAAUAGUUGUGGAAGUAAGAAUAUAUGUCACCUAGACGCUCUAGAAGUAAGUAUCAAACCUGUCCGUUAUUCACUCAUUUUUAAAAGUCAUGCCAAACAAAGAAAGAAGGGGUAGCCUUACAUACCGUAUAGUUGAUUCGCACGUCAAAUAUUUACUGCUCAAGCUAUUAUUCUAUGACAAGCAACAAUCGUGCCGCAAUUAGAUAAACGUCGCGCUUUACUACUUAUUAUAAUCUAGCUAAUAAUCUAACAAAAAUCCGGCAGCAUUUCCCCUAUUUUCCUUACUUUGUCCAAAUCCGACAACAACCCAAAUUAUCCAUAGCAAUACCAAUAACACAUAUAACCCAACGAAUCAUAUUAAACAGCCCCCUCCCCCUCCCCCAAAACAGUUUCGUCUCGGCAACCAUAGUAACGAAGCAACGACACACCGAGCGAUAACUCACUUUAUAAUUCGCAACACAUCUACCUUAUCUUAGUUAUCCUUUGGAGAAUAUACCUAUAAUCACAUUUAACAUAUACAUAAUGCCAAAAUAGAAUUUCCCGCAAUUUGCUUUAAUCAAAACAACCCAAGCACUAACACGACACCACUAAUAAUUUGAUAAUGGUUUCCGUUCAUACUUAGCACAUUCAAUAACUAAAACAAACUUCCUAAGAUACUGUUCAUGCCUCCUUCUUAACAUUAAUGUCUAAUUAACAAAGGCAUUCUAAGGAAUUAACACACCAAGCAAAGAGAUUACUAACCAAAUUCUUUGCAGCUGGUGGCCAAGAGUUGCAUGGUUGGUUUUCUCCAUUUCCAUGGCUGCCUAAGCCAAGAGGUAAAUAAGAUGAUAUGUUUCAAUGCAUUUCACCACCUCAUUUAUAAUAUGAAGUGGAGGCAGCCUCCCUCUACACGUGUCCCACUAAGGCCAGCUCCCAAUCUGAUCCCUUUUAAUUUUCCUUGAGUGGUGGGGCCCACUAGAUUAAUUUAAUCCUAAUCAGCCACUAAUUAAUCCCUCACUUAAAGUUAAUGGCACUUACAUUAUCCAAAUCAUACUUAAUAACACAUUUGGAAUUAACAUCCUUGCCUAAUAUUUCUUUAAUCACUUGGAACUUAAAAUAAAAUCUCAUUCCCCGGACUUACAUCUACUAGUUCAUGAUGCGCACUACGUAUAAAAAUACGAGGCAUAACAAUAAGGUUGGUUAUGAAUUUACUAUGAACCAUAAUAUGAAAUGAUGAUGAAGAUAUGUUGAUCUCAUAUAUGAGGGUCGUAUUGAAAGGACAAUAUCAUGCAAUUCUUAUUGAACUAAAUGACUAUGAUAUACAAGGGGUUAGUCUCAAAUGACCUAAACUAAUCUAUGAUGAAUAAUAAAGGCUUAAAUACAUUUCAAAAUUGGACACUAGCUUAGCACCGAGUGAACUAGUAGUGAGAAGUGUCCCUUUCAAAGUAAGGAAGGUAGGUUCACUAAUAUACUCAUGAGAUUGGGUACUAUAAUGCAUUGUUCAUAAAUAGGGUCCUAAGCAUAUCUCUUGAUUAUUGAACUAUGUUUCCCCCAUAGGAAUACUAUAUAGUGGCUUAACUUAGAAUGCUAUGUUCACGUAUUGGAACUACCUUGGCAAGUAUUCCACCUUCUUUCAGUGUAAGGUUUAAUGACACCAUAUUUCACACUUAGCUCUUGUGAUCAUUGUUGGUUAAGGCAUGUGUUCCAGAAAAUAAAAGUGAUGUAAUAAAGUGAACACUAGCUAGGGUAACCUAAGGGGUUUGACUUAGUCUAGGUAGGGGUAUGAGACUAUAUGUAUACAUUGCACUAGUUGGACUUGAGGGAAGUCCUAGAAAUUUGUUCCUAUGUUAUAUAAACUAAUGUUAUGCAUCUGUUGACUUUAAAUGGUGAUGAUCUUAUAUGAGGUUAGUUUCACAUCUGAACAUUCUAAUGACCUAUAUUUCUAAAUCUGUUGAUGGUCACACAUGAUAAUAUGUUAUGUGGAGUAAGAAAAUACUUAUGGUCCUUUGUUUGGUUUACUUAGUUAAGUAAGGUUAUGUGAAUUUUCUUAGUUAGUGAACAUGUAGAGUUUAUUUUGGGUUAUGAGUAAAUUUUUUGAACUUUUGUAUAAUGAUAUGAAUUCUUGUACAUUUUUCCCAUUUUCUAUGUUUACUACAAAAUGUAGGUUUCGGCCAUUGAGCUUUUAGGGAGACAUUUAAGAAGACUUGGGUUCUCAUUUUAUAUGAUCAGUAUGUCCUCACAUUCCGAGGACGAUGCCGCUAUCUUGCUAUUUGAUAUUGUAUUAGUCUUUAUGACACUUUUGUUCGUUCACUCUCAAUUGAAGAUUAUUAUUAUAUAGGGCUCUAUGUUGCUUUUAUUGUAAUGAAGUAUGGUCUAUGCCCAAUGUUGUACUAAUUUUAGAUUUUUUAAUAUGAGACGUAUCCUAGACUUCUUAUGAAUCUAUAUUGGUAUAUUAUGUAUGUCAAAUAAAAGUAGAAGCCUAUGUAGUGCUUCCUAUGUGACGAGUCAAUGUAUACUCCCUAUAUAUCUAUAUAUAUAAUAUAUAUACUAUUUGUAAGCGAGAGGUCUAAGUAAACUUUAAUAAAGAAAUAGAUUAAAAGUUUUGAUUUUUUUGCAAUUUAACAUAUGAUAUGUUCUAACGAAUGCUAAGAUGCUAGUGUAACUUCUUUUUGAGGAUGAUGACGCCGAUUACGUUUUUUGGGGUGCUCCCUGGAUGUGAAAGUUACAAACAAGCCAAUAAAGUCAUAUCGUGAUUCUAAUUCUUGUGGGGUGAACCUAAGCAGUGAAAAUUAGGGUAAGCCUAUGGGCGAAGAGUAAUAAAUGUUUUUGAACUUAUUCUUGAGAGCGAGUGUUGAUUCAAAGAUCCUUGUACCCCAAAUGUAUAAUCAUUAUGUGAAAAUUGAAGUUUUAUUUUUAAGUGAGGGCACUAGUUGCGUUAUUAAAAAAUUAGUCCCUAUGUGAGAGUAAAAAAAAAAGAAGCAAAGUGUCUGUUGCAUUGCGAAUUUGUGUCAUGAUGUGAUCUUCACAAGUUAGACUGUCGAGCAUGAGAGCGUAAGAUUACACUCAAGCAAGAAAGAGUGAGAUUAAUUGUCAUGUUAUUUCUAGAUCUUAGAGAUGUAUUCUUCUAUACAAGUAUCGUUUAGUAUGCGUCAAUUGAGGUUGAGGGUGUUGAUGUGCCCUGAUUUCAUGGUAUUUUUAAUGCAUUUCACUUGAGUGUUGAGUGUGUCAAAAGACUUUUUGUAAUGAUGUUUAUAAGUUUUGUGUGUUGUUUUGCAGGAAAGAUGUCCAGGCAGCAAGAUAAGAAAGCAACUGUAAAAAGUGCAGAACAGGACCUUCAAAAGCCAUGUACGAUCUGUCAUUUAAUCGACGGACUGUAGUUGGUGACCAUAGAUAUGAAGCUCGGGCCUUGGGAGAAGAUUAGAGAAAUUUGACCAAGUGUGGAACCACGAGAGCAAACUGGUGAACGGUCGAUUAGUUUAGAGAAGGUUUUAAUACCUGACUUUUGAAGAUUCAAAAUUUAUAACUAUUGAGGAGCAUCGAUGACCCUUAGAUUGAUCGAUGGACCAUACUAUUGUCCAUCGUUUGAUAUAGAGAGGGUGAUAUCUGGUGAAUAAAAAAUAAUUCUAAUUCUUGACUGACAGAAGGAGUCUACAGACCGUUGAUUGAUUGACGCUCCAUCAGUUGGUCCGUAUGUUGAAGCCAUGACAACUAAACAAAUUUUCCUUAUUUUAAUUCCAUUAUCGUUUGAUAUAGAGAGGGUGAUAUCUGGUGAAUAAAAAAUAAUUCUAAUUCUUGACUGACAGAAGGAGUCUACAGACCGUUGAUUGAUUGACGCUCCAUCAGUUGGUCCGUAUGUUGAAGCCAUGACAACUAAACAAAUUUUCCUUAUUUUAAUUCCAUUUUCUUUAGGACUAUAUUAUAUACAUAUAGGUCUUUAAAACUUGUUUUGGGGGUUAGUUACUAUUACUAUUAUUUUAUUUUGUGUAUUGGAGAUUGUUUGUUGCAAACUUGGGAAAUUAAUCAAUUUCCGGAUUUGGUUUGAAGGACUUUUGGAAAUUUCAAGUUGAAUUUCAGGGUUUCUUAUUAUUGUUGAAUAUUUUCAUGAUUUUUUCAUUCAUAAAAACUAUGAAUUGUGAUGUUUCUAGUAUGGGCAACUUAAUCCACAUGUAGGGUUGUGGAACCAUGGAUAAAUAACAAAGUAAUCCUAGUAAUUAAGCAAAAAAAAUGAAUAGUGUUUUUGCAUGCAUUGAUAAUUCUUUUGAUUAAAAGUUUUUUCAAAGAAUUCACGCAUUAUAACUCACCUUGUUGCUAUUGUCCAUAUCAAGGAGGUAGUAAUAGGAAAAGAUUUAUCAACAUAGAUUUAGUGUGAAACUAUCUAAUAGGCUAGUUGUAAUACUUGUAAAAUGAGUUAGCUAAAACUAGAGCCUAAAACUUGUGUCAUGGUCUUUUGAAGUUCUAAUAUGAUUUAAAAUGAGGCAAGAGGCAGUGUCCAAAGUUUCAUAAUGUUUGGAGGUCAAACGUCCAUGAUGUUUGAAAGGUUUGCCUUGAAUAAUAUUUGUGUUUCUUGGUGUGUUUCGUCAAGUUUUACAUGUUCUCUACGGAUGAAAUUUAUAUGAGGGGUUUCUAACAUGUGUUCUAUUAUAUUAAGUCUUGGUGUGUUUCGUCAAGUUUUAAAGAGAUCGGCGGGGAAAGUCUCUCUAUUACCUCAACUUUAGCUGAAUCAACCUCUAUGCCCUUUUUUGAAAUGCGAUGAUCCAACACAAUACCCUUUUUCACCAUGAAAUGACACUUUUCCCAGUUUAGUACCAAAUUGCAGUCUUCACAUCUCUUAAGAACCUCAGAUAAAUUGGUCAAGCAUCGCUCAAAUGAAUCACCAACCACAGAAAAAUCAUCCAUAAAAACCUCUAUAGUAUCCUCCACCAUGUCAGAAAAUAUUGACAUCAUACAUUUCUGAAAGGUUGCGGGUGCAUUGCACAAUCCAAACGGCAUUCUUCUGAACGCAAAAGUCCCAUAUGGACAAGUGAAAGUGGUUUUCUCUUGAUCUUCUGGUGCGAUAGAAAUCUGAUUAUACCCCGAAUACCCAUCAAGAAAACAAUACCACCCUUUUCCGGCAAGUCUAUCCAACAUCUGAUCCAUGAAGGGCAUAGGAAAAUGGUCUUUUUCAGUCCAUGAGUUCAGUUUACGGUAAUCCAUACACACCCUCCAUCCAGUAACCGGUCUCAUUUCAUUCUUUUCGUUGGGGACCACAGUCAUUCCCCCUUUCUUAGGUACACACUGAACCGGGCAUACCCAACUACUAUCGGCGAUUGGAUAGAUUACUCCAGCAUCCAACCACUUGAUAAUUUCCUUCUUCACAACCUCUUGCAUAGGAGGAUUCAAGCGUCUCUGGUGCUCAAUACUCGGCUUAUGAUCAGGCAUGAGUUGGAUUUUAUGAGAGCAAAUACCAGGAGGGAUCCCAAUAAUGUCCGCAAUGGUCAACCCAAUAGCUCUUUUGAACCUUUUUAGUACCUUCACCAAACUCUGAACCUGUUGUUCAUCUAGGUCUGAUGCAAUGAUUACCGGCAAAGUGUCACCAUUUCCUAAGAAUUCAUACCUAAGAUGAGGUGGGAGAGUUUUUAAUUCAACUUUUAGAGCUUCCUCUAUAGAUGGUUUAGCGGGUGGGGACUCGCGAUUCUUCAUAUCAAGCUCAAAUUUCUUCGGUUUAAACCGAACAUCACCUCGGUCAAGAGCCGCGACUAAUGACUCAUACUCUUCAAUGCAAUCGCUAUCAAAGUUCAUUAUCACUGCCGCUAAUGCUUCGACACCUAGACGUUCUUCUAUUUGUGUCUCGAAGGUCUCACCCAUGUUGUAGGAUAUAGCAGAUGCCGAUUGGAGCUCACCACUCUGCCUCAUGGACCUACAAAUAUUAAAGGUCACUUCCUCACUGUUGAACCGAAAUUUCAUCUGCCCCUUUUCCAUGUCUACUAAGGCUCUUCCCGUAGCUAGGAAUGGCCUCCCAAGGAUAAUAGGCACUUCAAAAUCAACCUCACAAUCAAGAAUAACAAAAUCGGCCGGAAAGAUGAAUGACUCCACUUUUACUAGCACAUCAUGAAGUAUCCCUAUGGGCCGUUUUACUGUUCGAUCAGCCAUCAGUAGCCGUAUCGCAGUGGGCUUUGGGUCACCUAAACCCAACUUCUUGUAAAUCGAGAGGGGCAUGAGAUUUAUGCUUGCCCCCAGAUCACAUAAGGCUUUCGCAAAAUGUAAUAGCCCGAUUGUACAAGGAAUAGUGAACGCACCCGGAUCUUCUUUCUUUUGGACCAGAGAUCUUGUAGCAAUAGCACUACAAUGUUGCAUUCUAUCAUCAUCCUCAAAAGUAACCGAUCUUUUCUUUGUGACCAAAUCUUUCAUAAACUUGGCAUAACCGGGCAUUUGUUCUAAAGCUUCUACCAAAGGGACAUUGAUAGAAAGUUGCUUCAACAUUGUUAUAAAACACCGAUAUUUGCCAUCCUCAGUUUUUUUCACUAAUCUUUGAGGAAAUGGGGGUGGUGGCCUAGGCAUGGGAGUUACCUUUUUAGGCACUUCAGCAUCUUCUGCACUGUUAUCUUUUAAAUUAGCAUCAACAUUUACCACUGUAUCAGAGUCUUUUGUCACCUCAUUCUCAUUAGAUGGCAUAGGUGGGUCAAUGGUUUGCUUGCCACCGCGAGUAGUGAUUGCCAUACAAUGUCCAUCAUUUUUCGGAUUUUGGACAGUGUUGCUAGGAAGAGUGCCCGGUUGCCGUGUGUUCACAGUUGCAGAUAAUUGGGCCAAUUGUAACUCAAGUUGCUUAAUCGAUAUUGCAUGUGUAUCAACUUUUUGCCCAAUACCCGCUAGAUCAUUCCUCAACUCUUUAUUAUGCUCAUCACUAGCAUCGAACCUCCUCAUCAUUUUAUGCAACAUAUCCUCAACUCGCGACAUACUACCUCCACCAUCCUUAGGAGUAACUUCACGAUUUUGAGGAGGAACAUAAGGUCCAUUUCUGUCGUUUCUGUUACCAUAGCUACCCCUGUUGAAGUUGUUGUCGCAAUUGUAGUUUCCAUCUCGGACAUAAUGACCCUCACGAUUGUAGUUACCAUAGUUCCGACCUUGGUUCCCUUGACCUUGGCGCCAAUUUUUCUGAUUAGAGCCUUGGGCACUUGGUCAGAAACCCCCCAUCUGUUCAUUUACUACAUAGGAAUCCUCCUCAUAAUAACACUCAUCGAUUAGAGGUGGUGGUUUAGCCAAGUAGUUGACUGCAUUAACCUUUUCUGAACCCCCAGUGACAUGUUUGAGUACCAACCCAAGCUCAGUUCUCAUCUGAGCCAUUUCUUCACGAAUAUCAUCUGUGGCUGGGUUGUGAGUGGACUGCACUGUGAAGGUGUUUCUCCCUGUAUCGGACUUCCUAGUACUCCAAGCUUUGUUGUUACGGGAGAUUUUCUCUAAUUUCUCAGCAAUCUCAGCAUAAGGGCAUUCUCCAUAAGAUCCACCUGCUAUAGUGUCCAACACCACUUUAUUGUUAUCAUCCUGUCCCUGAUAGAAGUAUUCCUUCAAUGACUCAUCAUCAAUACGGUGAUUUGGGACACUUCUCAAGAAUGAGGUGAAUCUAUCCCAAGAACUACUAACUGACUCUCCUGGUAGUGCCACAAAGUUAUUCACCCUGUCUUUGUGGUUUAAUUUCUUGGUGACCGGAUAGUAGCGUGCUAAGAAGACAUCAUGUAGUUGGUUCCAAGUGAAAAUGGAGUUGUAUGGGAGCUCAAUAAACCACAUAGCAGCCUCUCCCGUCAGUGAGAGAGGAAACACUCUAGAUCCAAAUCAGGCCUCCCCACACAACUUUUACACACUGCCCUUACCUUAGCUACAUGGGCAUGUGGAUCCUCAGAAGGUAGCCCUGAAAACAAACCUCUGGCAGUGAGCAUUUGCAUCAGACUACUAGUUACCACAAAAGUGUGGCCUGUGGGUAGAGGAGGCAAAACCAGUGGCCCAUCCGAAUCUGCUAUGUUAUCAUAGCCUCUGUAGUAUGCUUGGGGCCGUGGAGCGGGAUUCUGUCCCAUCUGUUGAUGUUCACCCGGAGCAUCGGGUAACAUCUGACCAUGAACAUCAGCCGGAGCUGGGAUGUUCUAGUUUGGAUCCUCAUCAUUGAUUCCCAAAUUACGAUUCAUGUUUCGCAGUGUACGCUCUAGCUCGUGAUCGUAGGGGAACAAUGGUUCUCUUCCUCUCCGUGUAUUUGGCUUACAAGAAGGAUAGUUCUGAAAAGAAAUCAAAAACAAUAAAACAAAGUAAAAUCAAGAAAAUAUCAACUAAACUAUAGUAAGAAGUUCAAGUUAAUCUAAAAACUAAAUUCCCCGACAGCGGCGCCAAAAUUUGAUAAGCUCAAACUUACGUCUCAAAUGAGAAGUAAAGCGGUCGCGUCAAGUAAAUAACCCAACUAGUGAGGUUGGGAUCGUUCCCAUGAGGAAAAUAGUCUAGACUUAACUUUAACUUGUUAUUACUAUUGUUCGGUUGAUGACUUCCUUAGAAAAUAAAAGCAUAAAAAGGGGGGUUUGUAUUUCCUAAUGAGCAAAAAUAACUAACGAACUUGAAAGAGACACUUAACAGCUUUUAAUGUUGGGUUUUAAUCAAGUAAUCAAAGUAACUAGGGUUUACGUGUUCCCCACAGGUUCAUAACUUGAUAAUUCUAACUAUAACAAUUCUUUCCUAGUAUCUCGCAUGCAAAGUGAUAAGUUAUGUAUUUCAAAAUCCUUGGUCCGGCAUCUAGAAAAUCUCACUCUGCACCUUGGUCUGGCUAUGUGUGUUGCUUUCCUAACCCUCAUCCUUACCUCAUAUUAAGCAUCGUAUUCGAUAUUUGACUAAGUUAUUACCUCGUACCAAUUAAUACUAGCCUAUUAGAUAGUAUACACUAAAUCUAUGUUAAUAAUUCCUUUCCUAUUAUCUACCUCCUUGGUCCGGCAAGUAGCAUUAAGGAGAGUUCUAACGUUGAUCAUCCGUUAAAAAGACUUCUAAGCGAAAGAAUUAUUAAUACAUGCAAGACACUAUUCUAGAAUUGUUAUUUUAGCUAGGGUUUAUCUCAUUAUUUGCCUAUGGUUCCCACAACCCUAGUUAUGGAGAUUAGUUCCUCAUAGCCAUAAACACAAUAUUCAAAUAUGUUAAACAAGAAUUCAUGUACUUACUUCAAUGAGAAAGAAUAAAGUCCGAAAAUUUGCUUGAUUAAUCACCAAAAAUCACUUGUAAGAAUCUCUAACAAUCAAACACUCAAAACACAAAGUCUAAUAAUAUGAUGUUUAAUCUCAUAGAGUCUAACCUCAAAAACGAGGUUUUUCGAACUAUUUAUAAAAAAUAAAAAAACCUAAUUAAACAAGGACUCUAAUUACUGGAAAUCUGCCAAAGCGUGGCUGGGUCGACGGACCACGCGACGGACCGUCGUGGUCAUGACGGACCGUCGUGGACUCCGUCGUCCCAUGCUUGGUACAAUUCUUCUGCUGCUUUCUUCAUUCUCCUCGAUGGCAAGUGUGACGGACCGUCAUAGGCACAACGGUCCAUCGAGGGUCUUGUUUCAAAAUACUUCAACUCUUGGAAUCUGGGUACUGGGAUCACUUCUCUGAUCUUCAUGACGAACCUGCAGGACGGACCGUCAUAGACAUGACGGACCGUCAAAAGCUUCGUAACCCCACACUUGGUCAGACUUCCCCAUCUUCCUUCAGCAGCUUCUCUACGCUGCCACCUACGGACCGUCACAAGCACGAUGGACCGUCAUAAGCUCCGUAGGUGGUCUCUUCUGCAAUUUUCGCUCAAAAUCUCCGCAUUCAGCUUUGGACAGAUUUCCUGCAAAACAAAGAGAAACUUAUAUCAAAAUUAGCAUAAACAAGGCUUUCGGACACACUAAUCUUAAGGAAAAAGUAUUAAUUAUACCGUGAAACCACGGUAUAUCAGGUAGCCACCUCCCUUUGGUUGCACAUAGAAGGAAUGUUAAAAGAGAUUUGACCAUAAGGUCCUUUUUGGGAAGAGUCAUCAUCUUCAAGCCUAUACCUCUUUAUUACUCUUAAUCUUUCUUCAUGUUUCUCCUUUUCAAACUGUUGAGCCUUAAUGACAACAUGAUCCAUAUCAUAUCAUCCUCAAUUAAAAACCACACAGCAUUUUCUUUUUAUCAAGUUUGAUAAACCCAACACAAACUUACUCAUCUUCAUUUUAGGGUUUGCCACUACUGGCAGAGCAUAUUUUAGGGUGUGCCAUUGAAGGUUAACCAAAUUAAGUAUUUUAGCCUCUCCAACCUCUAAAGAGUAAACCUAUCAAUGAACCCAUUCUUAUAUCUUUCCCAUUUCAUGGGGCUUGCUUCUACCGGCCUCUCACAUUUCAAUUGACUAUACAAAUUUUGAGAAAUCUCCUUCAAAUGGAUUACAAAAACUUCUGCCUUCUCUACCGGUAUUACUAUUACCAAGUUCAACACCCUCGAUAUCUUCUCUACAAACUCUAUAAAAUCUUCCUCCAUCUUUGACCCAUAGAAAUUGGGAAAAUAUAUCCUAACUUGGGUCAACCGAUGAAACCCAUACCUAAUAUUCUCAUUUUACAUCAAGUCAAUGGGAAAAUGAGGAUCUUGAGGAUAGUAUCCAUUAUCAUCGUAGUCUUCUUUACACCCACUAGUGAAAGAUACUUGAGUAGUCAUAUCAUGUAGGCCACCAGAUAAGGAUAAGAAGAAAGACACUAUAAAGUAAAACUUUAUCGCACGAUUCAAUGAAUGAUGAAAUGAUGUUUUUCCUAACAUCUGAUAGCCUUCUAUACAUAGAAUGUGGUGCGCUUCACAUUUAUGAACAUGCCAUUACUAGAUGUGGUUUGAUACAUCCUUAUAAUCUUCCCAAAACUUAAUGCUUUGCUACAACAUUUGUCGUCACCAGAGGUAAGCCCUCAGAAGUAACACGAAAAAGUUGACCUUGAACACAUCGCAUACAAGCCUCAUACCAUUCAUGAAAAUUCAAGUAUAACAAAAAUAGUGUGGGUUUAUAGCAUUUAUUUACAAUUGAUGUCGUUUAUAAAAAGAAAGAGUAUCUCUAACACUACCUGUCAAACCAUCUGAUUAUUUGGCAUUAGUGCCGGCAAAAUGAGCUCUUAUUUUGGUGAGUCAUUCAACCCUCCCAUAUUUUAAUGGGUUGAGUGAGUAAUUUUUCACAUGAGUAAAAUAUGGUCUGCUAUCCAUAUUUGACCCAUAUAUAUAUGGGUAAAAUAUGAAUUAGCCAAAUGAGUUAAGCUUCUAACUUUUUCACUAAAAAUUCAUGUUAUCUCUAAAAAUAGUGUAACUUAUCUUCCUUUUUAGGAUAUUCUAUAGAAGUAACUAUUCUUCUCUAUAAUUGAAAAGGUGAAGAUUUUGACCUUCCAAAAAUAUAUCUUUAAAUAUACAUUUCCCAUUUUAAUUAUAAUUACAUUUUAUAUAUUUAUUAAAUUUUAUAUUGGAUAAUCAAUAAUAGUAUAAAUUAAUUAAAUCAAUUCAUCUUAAUUAGAGUCAGCUUUGUUAAGUUCAGUAUGGCAAGGUUAUUAAUUCAUUUUGUCUUAAACUCGCCAGAUCUUUAGUUUGGCGCUACCCUCUCAAUUUUCCAACCCACCUUGGCUACAAUUUCCAUUCUUCCAAGAUCAACCCCCUGUUCCCCUUUUUCAUUUAAACCCAAAUCAAUUCCAGCCCAUGCUUUAUUCUCGACCCAGGCCCAAAUUUUCUAGUUAAGUCAGUUUCAGCCCAAUUUCCUCCCUUACCGGACCCAAUCUUGAUUCUCCCUCACGAGAAGAAAAUCCAGAUCGAUUCUUAGAAGCAACAACUCAGUCCGUAGAUGGUAAACGGAGGAAUAUCUAUGCGCGUAUCUUCAAAAUGAAUCGAUGACAACGGCACGUUAAUAGAGCCAAGAAGACCCUUGCGCGCAUUGCAUUGCCUUCACUCGCGAGCACGCUCCAACAUUCGUAAAGAUGUGCUCAAUGUUUUCUCUGUUUUCUUCGCCAGGAACUGUACAACAGGGGUCAGUAGACUCGCUCAGCUUGCAGGCACACGAUUUCAUCCUUGAUGGCAUGACAUGAGGAUACCUCUCACCUCCAGGGCGGGAAAUCAAUCAAGGUCGUCAACAUCCCUAUUUGGCUUUUGGAAUUUUGCUAGAGAAAUCAAUUUGAUUGUACGAGCAGCAAUCUUAUCUUCAUACGGAAAGGAUUUUUGAAUUUCAAAUAGGCACUUGGAUUCUCAGUAUUUCCCUUGAUCUUCCCCCUCUAUUUUUACCUAACUUUCCCCUAUAUAUACCCUUCUUCUUCAUCUUGUUGAGGGUGGGAUUUUUUAAAAGGGGUUGGAGGUUUUCUUUUUUUGGUUUUCGUCAGAAGAAUAGAGAGAAUUUUUCGAGCGAAAGAAUCCUUGUUUUGUUGGAAGUUGAGGGAACAAAGGAAGUUUGCAUACUGAGACAAAGUUUCUUUUGUUUUCGUUUAAAAAAAAGGAUACUACGACCCUUAGACUCGUUUUUUUUUUGCCGAAGCUUGAAGUUCUCACCACUCUAGUUUUGGUAUGAUAGGUGCUUGUCUUGCUUGCACGCGGAAAGGUGAGCAUUGUUGGGGUUUGUUUCAUUCAAAUAUCCCUUGCAUCUGGGGUCGUUUUAAAAUCAAAGACCCUUUACAUCAAGUCAAGCCUAUUAAAUUAAAUAGAUAGGUUUUGAAGUUUGAAAGAUAAAAGAAUGUCGAAGAAGCGGGAUUGGAAGACCCUUUGUGUUUCAUAUUUUGUAUUCAUAUUUUGUAAUGGGAUUAAGACCUCGUCAUCUUUUACUUGAUUUAUUUUGUGUAAUUAUUUGCUUAGUCUAGGACAGGUACGAAAAAAGAAAAUGGGUCAAAACCCAAAAACAAGUGGGUCCAAAUACUGGUCAAGGCGAACAGAACCCGGAUUUAGACCCGACUCUCUCUCUCUCUCUCUCUCUUACUUUUUCAGUAUUUUCUUUUUGUUAUUUUUGUUAGUUUUAGAGUCGAAAAACCUCAAUUCCCUCCAAGACGUCCUCAUAUUGAACUGCUUAAACUAAAUCAAUCAAUUUAAAUUGAACUUAAAAAUAAUAAAACAUUACGAGCACUUUUCAGUAAAUUAACAUUCCCCUUUCAAACAAUUUUUAAACAAUUUUCAAUAAAUUUUAUAGGUUAAGCCAAACUAUGUUGGUUGCUGGAAAACCAUUUUAGACGGACGUUUUAGGUGCCUAACACCUUCCUGAAACAUUAAUUUGAAUCCCCUAGACCCUCUGAUUGUUUUCAAACAAUUUUUCUGUUAAGGGUUUUGAAAACAACGUUUUUCUUGAUUAUCCUCAAAAAUUAAGUGGCGACUCUAAAAAAAGUCAAAAAUCUAUAAAAACAUCCUUUUUCGAUAAAACAUGAGUUACCAGAUCUUGUGUUCAAGUUGAAUAAGGCUAUGUAUGGUUUGAAACAAGCUCCCAGAGCUUGGUAUGAAAGACUGUCGAUGUUCCUAUUGAAAAAUGGGUUCAAAAGGGGAAAAUAGACAAUACCUUGUUCAUAUUAAAAAGAGAACAGGAAUUGCUUAUUAUACAUGUAUAUGUGGAUGACAUUAUCUUUGGAGCUACAUCAGAGCAUUUGUGUGAAGAAUUUUCAUCAGUAAUGGAAAAAGAGUUUGAGAUGAGCAUGAUGGGUGAACUGACUUUCUUUUUGGGACUAUAAAUCAAGCAAUGAUCAGAUGGAAUCUCAAUCAGUCAGGAGAAGUAUAUUAAGGAGUUGUUGAAGAAAUUCAAUAUGUUUGAUUCUAAACCUAUUGAUACUCCUAUGGGAUCAAACUCCAAGCUUGUAGCAUAUGAAUCUGAUUCUCUUGUGAAUCAUACCAUGUAUAGGGGAAUCAUUGGAUCCUUGUUGUAUCUGACUGCUAGCAGACCUGACAUCGUAUAUAGUGUUGGAAUGUGUGCUAGAUUCCAAGCAUGUCCUCGUAAUUUACAUUUGAAGACUGCAAAAUGGAUUAUAAGAUAUUUGAAGAAAAUAAGGGACCUGGUCCUCUUUUACCCAGCAGGUGACACUUUUGAUCUUGUUGGUUUUGCAGAUGCUAAUUUUGCUGGUUACCAAGUUGACAGGAUGAGCACUCAGGGAUGGCUCAUUUCCUUGGAUCUUCACUUAUCUCAUGGGGAACUAAGAAACAGAAUUCAGUAUCUCUUUUUACAGCUAAAGUUGAAUAUGUAAAAGCUGUUGCAUGUUGUUCACAAUUGUUAUGGAUCAAACAACACUUAGAGGACUUUGGAGUAAUCAUCAAGGCAAUACCUCUUAUGUGUGACAAUACUAGUGCAGGGAAAGAAUCUUGUUCACCACAAGAGAACCAAGCACAUUGAUGUUAUACAUCAUUUUCUGAGAGACAAUAUUGAAAAGGGAAACAUUGUACUUACAUAUUGCCCAACGGAGGAACAAAUCGCAGACAUCUUCACCAAGGCUCUUAGCAAAGAUCAAUUUGAGAGUAAUAGGUUGAAGUUGGGAAUGAUGACUUCAAACUGAUUUCAAGUCAUUCAAUCAUUGAAUUUUCUUGAUGGCUAAACUUGUAGCGAAGGUAUCCUCUUUAUCAAUAAUAUCUUAUCUAAGUUAGAUCGUUGUUGUACCUAUUGCAUGUAUACAUUCAUAAAGGAUCAGCAAAGCAAACACAUGGCUAGAACAGUUGAGAAAUAAUGAUAAAAUUGCAUUAUGGGCCUGGUCCUAGUCGAGGUUAGCAUUACAUUAAUUUUUAAUUGAUAUUGAGUGACCGUUGAUCAAGCCAUGUGUCAGUCAUCGGUUAUUCUGACCGUUAGUCUCAUCGCCUAUUUUCAAGCGACACAUCAAAUCAAAAGAGACCUAGCACCAUUUUUUUCUUUUUGAAACCCAUCUUGCCUCUUUUUUAAUCCUUCGAUCUUCUUGCAUUAUUCCUUCUCUCUGUCGAAAAAUAAGGAAUAUUUUUUUUCUCUACCUCUUUCAUUCUUCACUACUUCUUCUCUCUUAUUUCUUCUUAAUAAAAUGUCGGACCCUUCUUCUGCUUCUAAGCAAAUGCUUACAGCACUUAGUGAGAUUAAACCAAUUGCAUUAUACUUUCUGUCAUCCACAGGGUCAAGAUCUAAUCUCCCAACAAGUUCUCCCUUAGAUAAUCCCAAAAAUAUUUUUCACUCUAUAGAUAUGAAUAGUUCAAGUGUUCCUACUGGACCUGGUCCUCAUCAUGAAAUGCUUUCAGAUGCUCUUUACAAAGGAGAUUUUCCAAGGAGCAAAACCUCUGAGUCGAACAUUCUUGCUACGAGUGAAGAAUUGGUAAUCGAGAGUCUUGAUAUGAUUCCAGAGGAAGUCAGGGUUGAGGAAAGUGAACCUUUUCAUAAUGAAGAUAUCAGAGAGACCCAACCUAUCUUUGAUAUAACCCUAGAUUUUGGGAGAUAUCCAUCCUCUGAUUCCUCUGACUCGGCAGGUGAUGAACAAUCUAUACAAUGGAAGGUUGAAAGAAGAGAUGAAAGUGCAUAUAUAAAGGGAAAAGAGAAAGUGAGUGGGAGAAGUGUCUAAAAGGAGAUCUAUUACUAGUUGUGAUGCCAAAAAGAUGAUGGUUGAUGCUCUAAAAGCCAGUGCUAAGUCUACAGCAAAAAAACAGGAGUGCUAGAACUUUCAAAGUGUCCAAUUUUAAACUGCCUAAGUCUGGUGUGAUAGAUGUCUCUAUUGAAGAGACAGAAAAGGGAUACAGGAAGAAGAAGUCAGGAAAGACAAAACCAAUAGGAAAUAACAAAGAUGAGCAAACAAAAUCCACAAAGGAGAAUGCUAAAGGAAAUAGGAAAAGGUCACAGGGACCUGGUAUACAGGUGCAUAUAAAUGAAGAGCAGGUCAACAAACAAGAGAUUGUUGACAAUUUGAGGAAGCAGUCUAUACUGGCUGGUAGGGUUUUUGAUAUGGGGAUAAUUAAUCAUCCUGGGAUGGACUCACUUCAUGACAUGGUUGAGAUUCAGUCUUAGAUGCAUCUUUUCAACCAAAAAUCUCUCAUUCUUCAUGAAGAGUAAGUGCGAGAAUUCUACUAUAACAUUCAAUUUCAGGAAUAUGGAAGUGUCAAUACCAGAGUAAAUGACAUUGUUAUUCACCUUGACGAGACUCUGCUGGGAAAAAUUCUUAGGGUACCUAGAGAUUAUAACAGGUAUGUAGUAGAGAAAACAUGUUCUGUUGAAUUUGUGACACUGUGUUCGAAGCUUCCUACUACAAAAUGUGCAUGGUUAUUUAAGAAAGUGAUGAAAAGUGAAUAUCAGUUAGUUUUUGAAUUUGUCAACAAAACUCUCCUCCCUAGAACUGAAAAGAGGACCUCAGCAACUUCUGCUGAUUUGUAUGUGAUGGAAUUGUUGUGCAAGUUUGAACCUCUGAAUCUUUCGGGACUCAUGCUUGAGCAAAUGUACACUAUCAUUGAUCGGAAAGGGAUUCAUGGUAUGGGAUAUGGAUACUUUCUCACUGAAUUAUUCAAAUACUUUAACAUUACGCUGGGUGUUGGCAAAGUUGGUACAGUGAGGCAAGCCUUUUCAGAAACUACCUUGGUUGAAUGCGAGUGCAUUGAAGGGAAGGAAAUCCCAAGAGAAAAAUGGCUCAAUUCAUGAAGGCGAGGACCAACUCAAGCAUGAAGUUGAAGAACUGACUAUUAUGCUGAGUGGAAAGGAUGCUGAAAUUGCUAUUCUUAAGGCCGAGCUACCCACGGUGCAGAUAGAAGGACCUGGUACUGAUGCGGUUCAAGCCCUAGAAAGGAAAAAUGCAGAACUGAGGGCCAAAUUUAUUGCUUUACAAGAAAAAUCAAUAAAAGAUAAUGAUGUUGCUAAUGUUAGACUCACUCUCAUCAUUCAAUCUCUUUCCCAUCAGCCUCCCCCUUCACAGUCCGUCCCAUAAUCUUCCCGUCUCUUCUUUGUGUGGCUUAUCUUUUUGUCCUUGGAUUUUAGUUUGCUGUUAAUGUAUUGAAUGUUAAUUUUGGAAUGCUAUUUAUAUUAUUUUCCUAGUGUUCUAGCUGAUAUCUCUUGUCAAAUGCUUUCUUUUAUGUUUAAUUGCAAAAAGGCUUUGAUCUUCUCUGAUAUUAUUAUUGAUACUGUUUGUUUAGUGUAUCUUUUUUAUGAUGCCAAAAGGGUGAAUUUUAACUGGUUUUUGUGACUGGACUGAACAUAUUUCUGAAGGGGAAUACAACUAGUGUAGUGUAUAUUGUGUUUUCUUUUGUUUUCGAUUCUAUGCUAAGAGGGUGGAUAAGCAAAUCAGGGGGAACUUGUCCUGAAGCUGGAGUGGAGCCUGGAGUAUUGUUUGUCAUCAAUAUGAAUCAUUCGUUGACUUUCAGUUGGAGAAAGUACAGAAAGUUGGUGCACAGUUCCCAACUGUGUCAGAAAUGUCACACUUUUCCUACCAAUGGCAAGGGUUUAAGGAAAGUGACUUGUCUAUACAAUGUCAUCUUUCCACAUAUUGCUCUUCAGUUUUUGCAACUUCAAAAAGCACAUUCAAGAACUCUUGCAAAGGCUUAAGAAAAUCAAGAAGAAGAAUAAUUCAAGAACAACCUAAACUCAGGCGUACGUUGUGUGGUUUUUUGAGAAUAUAUUCUCGAUCGUACAUUGUAAAGUGAUCCUAAAUCUAUAAAGGAAUCAGUGUGGUCUGACAUGAAAUUCUAAGCUAGAUAGUUGAACUAAUUUAGUGGGUUACCUUUGUGUUGCUUAGAAAAUUUAAGUUGUCUAGAGUGAUAGCUUAGUGGGUAGAUUAACAUCUACUUAGGCUCAUCAAGCAUAUGAGUUAUUGCUUGUUGGUGAGAUAAAAAAAAUUCUCACAUUUGUGUAACCGAUUUACUUUUGCUUGUGAAGAUUAGUGAAACGGUUGUGAAAAUCCUGUGAGACAGGUCGUGGUUAUACUCCCUUGAGCAAGGAGGUUUUCACAUAAAACUCCUCUGUUGUUAAACUGCAUUUACAUUCUUUUAUAUCCUUAUUUGUGUGUCAAGGGACCUGGUCCAUUGAGUGAUAGUGGACGCACAAACUCUAACAUAUACCCCUAAGGAGAAUUUUCUUGGACCAAGACGGUGCAAAUUAGGCUACGUACCUUGGGACAAUUCUGUUGAAUGGAUCAUGAUUCCCAUGUUUUAUCAACAUGCAUAUAUCGCUCCCCUCUAUGUCACCAACAGAGAAAACAAACAAAUGCACAUACCAAAAAAGUGAGAAAAUGUUAUGACUUGUUGGCUCUCUCUAGUGUAUGAGUAGUUGAUAUUAAACUUGGAUUUGUGAAGAAAAGUAACUAGAGUUGCAAUAUGCAUGCAUUAGUUCACAUGUAUAUAUGUGAUAUUUACUUAAUCUUACUUUUCUAUUUCAACAGGAAUCGUGGAAUAAAACACAUGAAACUGGAGAACUUUCCACCAUAGCUGACCCAAAUUUUCAUCAUAAUCUAAGAGAAACCAAUCAAACUAGUCCAAGUUCAGUUUUAGAACAACCUUUCAAGGAGGAGAAGCUAUUUGCCUCUAAAGUGAAUAAUAGUGUCACGACCCAAAAUGAGCCGCGAGUGGCACCCACACUUAUCCUCCUAUGUGAGCGAACCAACAAAUCUAAACCCCAACAUUUACCAAUAUUUCAACCAUAGUGAACAAAAUAUAAUGCGGAAGACUCAAAACUCAUUAACGAAAAUCAAUUAAAUAGCUACUAAAACUCAAUACUUAUUAUUCCCAAAAUCUGGAAGUCAUCACAUCAAGAACAUCUAUCCUCAAAUUUCUAAAUCUAAGAGUAUUAAAAAGAUAAAAUAAGUAAAAGUAUGGUCCAUGUCCGAACUUCAAGACAUCAAGACGCGAAGGAGAGAAUACAGCACGAGCUAGGAACAAUAGCUCACCCUGAAUUCUGAUAUGCUGGAGACUGGCUAGAGUUGAGGGCGAGUCGAAGUCGAUGGCGCACUUGCUGCACUCCAAAAAAUAACAAAGAAGAAAAUACAAGUAGGGGUAAGUACAAGGAACAAGUACUGAGUAGGUAUCAUCAGCCAACUCAGAAUAGAAAGCAAUAUAUAUUAAAUAAUAAUAUAAAAUCAACCAUAGUACUUAACAGGUGACAAUCAACAAGUACAAUAACCAUUGGCAACAACACCAAGCAUACCCUUGAGAACUCAAACCUCCACACCAUGCUCAUUUGAGAAAUAGGUUCUUUGAAUUUGAGUAAAUUAACAUAAUUCAAUAUUCAUUCUCUUAUCAUUACCGUGUCGGAACGUGACACUUCGAUCCCCUAAUACUACGUGUCGGAACGUGACACCCGAUCCCUUAAUACCACGUGUCGGAACGUGACACUCCGAUCCCCUAAUACUACGUGUCAGAAUGUGACACUUGAUCCCUUUAUACUACGUGUCGGAACGUGACACUCCUAUCCCCUAAUGCUACGUGUCGGAACGUGACACCCGAUCCAUUUAUUUCAUUACUUUAGUUCAUCAAGCCUUCUUUAUGUCAAGGCAUCAACUUAAUGGAGAGGAUUUAAGAUUGAAGAUUCACAAUCACAACAUACAAAUGCACAAUCAAGCAUAUAGAAGACUUUACAAUACCACCCAAUACAUAUCAAUCGCUAUUUAGAGUUUACUAUGAAGAUAGCAUAAACCAUAACCUACUUCCACCGAAGAAUCGUGAUCAAACAAGCUACUUCCCAAUGCCUUUGCUUUCCUCUUCGCUUCUCCCUUUUCUCACUCGUUCUCCCUCUCUCUGUUCUUUUUAUUUUCCCUCUCCAAAUUCUUUUUCUUUUAACCUAGUUAUCAUAUAAUUCAUUAUGACAAAAGUAACCCAUUAUUUAUUUUAAGUUACCUCCUUUGACCCCCAAGUAAAUAAGUUAUUAAACUUACCCACUAAUUUCAUACAGUUUGGCAUGAAUAGUCCAAAACACCCCUUAAAACUUUUAGCAAAAAUCCGACCCAGUCGAGGUUACGUAGCUCGUGACGGCCCGUCGUACCUGUGACGGUCCGUCCUGCAGGUCCGUCACAAAGUUCAGAGAGUCAAAUUCAUUAACGAGUUUUGUGACGGUCCGUCGUAUCUACGACGGUCCGUGCUGCAGUUCCGUCGCGAAGUUCAGAGAGUCAAAUUCAUUAACGAGUUUUGUGACGGUCCAUCGUAUCUACGACGGUCCGUGCUGUAGUUUCGUUGCGAAGUUCAGAGAGUCGAUCCCAGCACCCAGAUUCUAGAGUUGAAGUGUUUUGGCACGAAGACGCUCGACGGACCGUUGUGCCUAUGACAGUUCAUCCUACUUGUCGUCGAGGGCAAUGAGGAGAGCAACAGGAAAAUUACACAACUGUGGGACGACGGGGUCCAUGACGAUCUGUCAUGACCAUGACGGUCCGUCAUGACCAUGACAGUCCAUCGCGUGAUCCAUCGACCCAGUCAGUUUUUAUCACAAAUGAUUCUACUGCUCGAAACGACUAAACAGGUUGUUACAAUAGAUACCAAUUUACACAUCGUUCGUCCUCGAACGAUCACAAGAAGAAAAACAAGGGCGAGAAAGAGUACCUGAAUCUGCAAAAAGGUGUGGGUAUCUUGCUUGCAUAUCAGCCUCCUUCUCCCAAGUGGACUCUUCAACUGGCCGAUUCUGUCACGACCCAAAUCCGGGCCGCGACUGGCACCCACACUUACCCUCCUAUAAUCAAAUUACUAAACUAAGAGUAUUCUAAGAAGCUAAAAAUACAUAGGAAGCUAGUCCAUGCCGGAAGUUCAAGGCAUCAAGACUUGAAGAAGAAGAUCCAGUCCAAGCUAGAAGCAUUAGCUCACCCUGAAUUUCCGAUGUAGUAAGACUGGCUUGAAUUACUGUUGUCACGACCCAACCCGAUAGGCCGUGAUUAGUGCCCGUUUUGGACACCCACAUACAAACCUGCUAAGUAUGACCAACUGAAACUAAGACAAUAUGGAAUUUAAUCAAAUCAAGCCAACCCCAACGUCAUAUAUAUAUAUAAGAGGACCUGUCUCAUAAGGAGUCAUAACCAUUCAACCAUAACAGCAUACGCGAGCCGACAAGGCCGCCACUAUUCAAAGCAUAAUGAUGUACGCAGCCGACAAGGCUGCCCCUGUACAAGCGGACAUCCCAAACAAACCAUGUCCAGACCAUUAUCCAAAACAUAUAUAUACAACCCACAUAAUGUCCACAGACCUCUAAGAGUACAUUAGUGAAACUCGACGGGACAGGGCCCCGCCAUACCCAUAGACGAGCAAAAGACUACACAAAAGUUAUGUACCAAAACGACUGGGCUCCGGAACAGUGGAGCUCUCCCAAUCAGCAGAGUAGAUAUCCUAGGCGGGAGGAUCACCGAACUGCGUGUCUACACCUGCGGGCAUGAAACGCAGCCCCCCGAGGAAAGGGGGGUCAGUACGGACAAUGUACUGAGUAUGUAAAGCAUAAGGUAAAGAUGACAGGAUACCAAUGUGGCAAGUCGAAACAAAAUAUCGCUACACAUAUACUUUUUAAGUGAAAAUCAUGCAUAUAUUUAACAUUUAAGGUGCCCAGCUUCCCUAGUAAGGGGCUCGGCAAAAUAAUCAUCACGUCAUCUCCGUCAUCAUCAUCAUCAUAACCAUCCUCAUCACCAAUCAUAUAUAUAAUAUACAUACCCGGCCCUCUAGUGAGGAACUCGGUGACAUAUGCAAGAAACUCCGCACGAACAUUACCCGGCCCGGGACUCGGUGAAAUGAUAAAUGACUCUAUGCACGAGCAGAAUAUUAUGAGCAACCAUAUGCAAUUAAGCUUAUAACUCAAUAGAACAAUCAACGUGAACCAGCAAGGAGUAUUACCAAAGAUUAAUGUUUUAUCAAGAUUAUGAACCUUUAAUACGAUAUGGAAACGUAAAAUUUCUAUGACUCUAAGAAGCAUUACCAUAGAUAUUAGAGAUCAUCAUAGCCUUAGACAUAACCGAUAUAUAGAGGAAUAAUUGUGGAAGCAAGAAUAUACAUCACCUAGACGCUUUAGAGGUAAGUAUCAAAUCUGUCCGUUAUUCGCUUAUUUUUAAAAGUCAUGCCAAGCAAAGAAAGAAGGGACAGCGUUACAUACCGUAUAAUUGAGCCGCACGUCCAAUAUUUACUGCUCAAGCUAUUAAUCUAUAACAAGCAACAAUCGUGCCGCAAUUAGAUAAACAUCGUGCUUUACUUUCUUGUAAGCUAGCUAAUAAUCUAACAAAAAUUCGGCAGCACCUCCCCUAUUUUCCUUACUUCGUCCCAACCCGACAACAAUCUAAAUUAUCCACAGCAAUACCAAUAACACAUAUAACCCAAAGAAUCAUAUAAACAGCCCAAGCACCAACAUGACACCACUAAUAAUCCGAUUAUGGUUUCCAUUCAUACUUAGCACAUUCAAUAACUAAAACAAACUUCCUAAGCUACUGGUCACGCCCCCUUCUUAAAAUUAAUGGAUAAUUAACAAGGGUAUUCUAAAGAAUUAACACACCAAACAAGGAGAUUACUAACCAAAUUAUUUGCAGCUGCUGGCCAAGAGUUGCAGGGUUGGUUUCUCCAUUUCCAUGGCUGCCUAAGACAAGUGGUGAAGAAGAAGAUGAUAUGCAGCAAUGCAUUUCACCACUUUAUAUAGCAUGGAGUGGAUUUCUCCACCUCAUUUAAUAGUAUGAAGUGGAGGCAGCCCCCCUCUACACCUGUCCACUAAGGCCAGCCCACAAUCUGAUCCCUUUUUAAUUUUUGCCUUGAGUGGUGGGGCCCAUUGGAUUAAAUCAAUCCAAAUUAGCCACUAAUUAAUCCCUCACUUAAAGUUAAUGGCACUUACAUUAACCAACUCAUACUUAAUAUCACAUUUGGAAAUAACAUCCUUGCCUAAUAUUUCUUUACGUCUUCUAGAUCACGAUGCGCACUACGUAUAAAAAAAAUACGAGGCAUAACAUCCUUCCCCCCUUAGGAACAUUCGUCCUCGAAUGUUAAGUUAGCGUCUUGCAAAAACAAAUUCCAGCGAGGUCUCUCUAAAAGUUAUACCUAUCAACCUGCAUUCCGUAACUUACAGAUGCCUCACAGCUACAUAAUCUCAUUACCUAUCAAUAUAGUCAAGCUAGGAAUUGAAUUACCUGCAGGUAAGGGGAACAAGUAAGGAUACUUAUUCUUCAUUUCGUCUUCCGCUUCCCAAGUCAUCUCCUCCCUAUUGUUAUUUUGCCACAACACUUUGACGGAAGCCACAUCCUUAGUACGUAACCUUCUAACCUGACGAUCAAGUAUAGCCACGGGUUUCUCCUCAUAUGACAACUCCUCUGUUACCUGAAUAUCAUCUACAGGGAAUACUCUAGAAGGAUCACCAAUACAUUUACGUAGCAUCGAUACAUGGAAGACUGGAUGUACCGCCUCCAAAUCAGAUGGUAGAUCCAACUCAUAGGCAACCUUGCCUAUCCUACGAACAAUCUGAUAAGGCCCAAUGUAUCUCGGACUGAGCUUCCCCUUCCUACCGAAUCUCAUCACACCCCUCAUGGGUGAUACCUUCAGGAAUACCCAGUCACCAAUCUGAAACUCCAAAUCUCGACGCCGAUUAUCUGCAUAUGACUUUUGUCGACUCUAGGCUACUAAUAAUCUUUCUUGAAUAAGCUUCACCUUGUCAACAGCUUGCUGAAUCACAUCCGGGCCUAUUAACUUAGUCUCGCCAACAUCAAACCAACCAAUAGGUGAUCUGCACUUCCUCCCAUAUAAGGCCUCGUACGGUGCCAUCUGGAUACUAGAAUGGUAGCUAUUAUUAUAGGAAAACUCAAUGAGCGGCAAGUGGUCAUCCCAGCUGCCUUUGAAGUCAAUAAUACAGGCCCGCAACAUAUCUUCUAGUGUCUGAAUAGUACGCUCAGCCUGCCCAUCAGUCUGAGGGUGAAAUGCUGUGCUAAGGUUCACCUGUGUCCCCAAUCCCUUCUGAAACGAUCUCCAAAAGUUGGCUGUAAAUUGAGCUCCUUUGUCUGAUAUAAUGGACGUGGGAACCCCAUGAAGUCUCACUAUCUCCCUGACAUAUAACCUCGCAUAAUCUUCAGCCGAAUAAGUAGUCCUGACUGGAAGAAAAUGGGCCGAUUUCGUCAGC
rnacentral:lncRNA from 1 species